rnacentral:lncRNA from 1 species
ACUAGCAAUCUAUCGAACGGGUUGUGUGCAUGUGUAGUUUUGGCCAGAUCUGGUUUGGUCCAAAGAUUGCAUAGGGGACUUUCUCCCCUGGCCCAACCAGCUUGUCAACUAACGUUCCCCUUGCCCUUAGCCUAGCCAUGUGCAAUUUCACUAGCAUUGGAGCUCUUUUGGGUGCUCCGGCAUUCCGUCGAACACCCUGGGUGCCUGCCCAGAGCGCGCCGGGAGAGCACGUUUUACACGCGCGUCCAUGCGCCCCUUGCCCUCUGGUCAGCCUGCAGAGCCGCGU